rnacentral:lncRNA from 1 species
CCAAACAGUAAUCCAAGCAUAUGCAAUAACAAUUUACAAUACAUAACAAACAUAUAUCAUAGUAGAAAUUGAUUGUUCAUUCGAGCAUGCUUAUACGUGAUGAGGCAAUGCAUAUCAAUUUUAGUUUAACAGUAAAGAUAGGUCCUACCCCACCACUACACUCCAUAGUAAGAGUUCCCCAGAACUCUUAUAUCCCGGACACUCUAGUUUGUGGAUGAACCACCAAUGUUGCAGGUUAAUACACUGUCAGUAGUUUUGAAUACACAACAUUUUCGCAGAUGAGCUGCCAGUAAUUUGUGGAUAAGCCAC